AACGAACGCUGGCGGCAUGCCUAACACAUGCAAGUCGAACGAGACCUUCGGGUCUAGUGGCGCACGGGUGCGUAACGCGUGGGAACCUGCCCUUAUGUUCGGAAUAACUCCCCGAAAGGGGUGCUAAUACCGGAUAAUGUCUUCGGACCAAAGAUUUAUCGCCUUUGGAUGGGCCCGCGUUGGAUUAGCUAGUUGGUAGGGUAAAAGCCUACCACGGCGACGAUCCAUAGCUGGUCUGAGAGGAUGAUCAGCCACACUGGGACUGAGACACGGCCCAGACUCCUACGGGAGGCAGCAGUGGGGAAUAUUGGACAAUGGGCGAAAGCCUGAUCCAGCAAUGCCGCGUGAGUGAUGAAGGCCUUAGGGUUGUAAAGCUCUUUUACCCGGGAUGAUAAUGACAGUACCGGGAGAAUAAGCUCCGGCUAACUCCGUG
rnacentral:rRNA from 1 species